rnacentral:rRNA from 1 species
AUUGUACGCUGGCGGCAUGCUUUACACAUGCAAGUCGAACGGCAGCGCGGGCUUCGGCCUGGCGGCGAGUGGCGAACGGGUGAGUAAUGCAUCGGAACGUGCCCAGUAGUGGGGGAUAGCCCGGCGAAAGCCGGAUUAAUACCGCAUACGACCUGAGGGUGAAAGCGGGGGACCGAAAGGCCUCGCGCUAUUGGAGCGGCCGAUGUCGGAUUAGCUAGUUGGUGGGGUAAAGGCUUACCAAGGCGACGAUCCGUAGCUGGUCUGAGAGGACGACCAGCCACACUGGGACUGAGACACGGCCCAGACUCCUACGGGAGGCAGCAGUGGGGAAUUUUGGACAAUGGGGGCAACCCUGAUCCAGCCAUGCCGCGUGCGGGAAGAAGGCCUUCGGGUUGUAAACCGCUUUUGUUCGGGAAGAAAUCCUCUGGGCUAAUACCCCGGGGGGAUGACGGUACCGGAAGAAUAAGCACCGGCUAACUACGUG